rnacentral:rRNA from 1 species
UACGUAGGUGGCAAGCGUUGUCCGGAUUUACUGGGCGUAAAGCGCGCGCAGGCGGUCUUCCAAGUCAGUGGUGAAAGCCCCGGAGCUCAACUCCGGAACUGCCAUUGAAACUGUAAGACUUGAGGACGAGAGAGGUGAGUGGAAUUCCCAGUGUAGAGGUGAAAUUCGUAGAUAUUGGGAAGAACACCAGUGGCGAAGGCGGCUCACUGGCUCGUAUCUGACGCUCAGGCGCGACAGCGUGGGGAUCAAACAGG